rnacentral:rRNA from 1 species
UACGUACCGGACAAACGUUAUUCGGAAUUACUGGGCUUAAAGAGUGCGUAGGCGGCCCACCAGGUGGGGUGUGAAAUACCACGGCUCAACCGUGGAAUUGCGCCCCAAACCGGCGGGCUUGAGGAAGAUAGGGGUGAGCGGAACUGAUGGUGGAGCGGUGAAAUGCGUUGAUAUCAUCAGGAACACCGGUGGCGAAGGCGGCUCACUGGGUCUUAUCUGACGCUGAGGCACGAAAGCUAGGGUAGCGAACGGG